rnacentral:rRNA from 1 species
UACGUAGGGUGCAAGCGUUAAUCGGAAUUACUGGGCGUAAAGCGUGCGCAGGCGGUUUUGUAAGACAGAUGUGAAAUCCCCGGGCUCAACCUGGGAACUGCGUUUGUGACUGCAAGACUUGAGUGCGGGCAGAGGGGGGUAGAAUUCCACGUGAUAGCAGUGAAAUGCGUAGAGAUGGUGGAGGAAUACCGAUGGCGAAGGCAGCCCCCUGGGCGACACUGACG